AGUGAACGCUGGCGGCAGGCCUAAUACAUGCAAGUCGAACGGCAGCACAGUGGAGCUUGCUCCAUGGGUGGCGAGUGGCGGACGGGUGAGGAAUACAUGGGAAUCUGCCCAGUCGUGGGGGAUAACGUAGGGAAACUUACGCUAAUACCGCAUGCGCCCUUCGGGGAAAGCCGGGACCGUAAGGCCUGGCGCGAUUGGAUGAGCCCAUGUCGGAUUAGCUAGUUGGCGGGGUAACGGCCCACCAAGGCGACGAUCCGUAGCUGGUCUGAGAGGAUGAUCAGCCACACUGGAACUGAGACACGGUCCAGACUCCUACGGGAGGCAGCAGUAGGGAAUAUUGGACAAUGGGCGCAAGCCUGAUCCAGCCAUGCCGCGUGAGUGAAGAAGGCCCUCGGGUUGUAAAGCUCUUUUGUCCGGAAAGAAAAGCACUGGGUUAAUACCCCGGUGUCCUGACGGUACCGGAAGAAUAAGCACCGGCUAACUUCGUGCCAGCAGCCG
rnacentral:rRNA from 1 species